UUUGAAUGUAAAUUAAUAAUAUUAGAUUAGUAGUAGGUAUGAUCUUUAAAUUUAAAGAUUUUGGCGGUAUUUUAGUCUAUUUAGAGGAACCUGUUCUAUAAUUGAUAGUCCACGAUAAAUUGUACUUAACUUAUUAAUUUGUAUAUCGUCGUUAUUAAAUAUUUUAUAAGAAUUUAAAUGUUUAAGAUUUUAAAUAAAAAAAUAUAUCAGAUCAAGGUGCAGUAUAUAGUUAAGUAGAAAUGGGUUACAAUAAAUUUAUUUAUUAUGGAUUUAUAAAUUAAAAUUUAUAAUGAAAGUGGAUUUAAUAGUAAUAAAAUUUAAAUAGAUUUUAUGAUUUUAGCUCUAAAAUGUGU
rnacentral:rRNA from 1 species